rnacentral:rRNA from 1 species
GGGGAGGGGAGCUACCAUGCAGUCGAGCGGGGGAAGGUAGCUUGCUACUGGACCUAGCGGCGGACGGGUGAGUAAUGCUUAGGAAUCUGCCUAUUAGUGGGGGACAACAUUCCGAAAGGAAUGCUAAUACCGCAUACGUCCUACGGGAGAAAGCAGGGGACCUUCGGGCCUUGCGCUAAUAGAUGAGCCUAAGUCGGAUUAGCUAGUUGGUGGGGUAAAGGCCUACCAAGGCGACGAUCUGUAGCGGGUCUGAGAGGAUGAUCCGCCACACUGGGACUGAGACACGGCCCAGACUCCUACGGGAGGCAGCAGUGGGGAAUAUUGGACAAUGGGGGGAACCCUGAUCCAGCCAUGCCGCGUGUGUGAAGAAGGCCUUAUGGUUGUAAAGCACUUUAAGCGAGGAGGAGGCUACUAGUAUUAAUACUACUGGAUAGUGGACGUUACUCGCAGAAUAAGCACCGGCUAACUCUGUGCCAGCAGCCGCGGUAAUACAGAGGGUGCGAGCGUUAAUCGGAUUUACUGGGCGUAAAGCGUGCGUAGGCGGCCAUUUAAGUCAAAUGUGAAAUCCCCGAGCUUAACUUGGGAAUUGCAUUCGAUACUGGAUGGCUAGAGUAUGGGAGAGGAUGGUAGAAUUCCAGGUGUAGCGGUGAAAUGCGUAGAGAUCUGGAGGAAUACCGAUGGCGAAGGCAGCCAUCUGGCCUAAUACUGACGCUGAGGUACGAAAGCAUGGGGAGCAAACAGGAUUAGAUACCCUGGUAGUCCAUGCCGUAAACGAUGUCUACUAGCCGUUGGGGCCUUUGAGGCUUUAGUGGCGCAGCUAACGCGAUAAGUAGACCGCCUGGGGAGUACGGUCGCAAGACUUAAACUCAAAUGAAUUGACGGGGGCCCCCCAAGCGGUGGGACCUGGGGGUUAAUCGAUGCAACGCGAAAAACCUAA